rnacentral:rRNA from 1 species
GUGGCGGCUGCUAUACUGCAGUCGAACGAACUCUGGUAUUGAUUGGUGCUUGCAUCAUGAUUUACAUUUGAGUGAGUGGCGAACUGGUGAGUAACACGUGGGAAACCUGCCCAGAAGCGGGGGAUAACACCUGGAAACAGAUGCUAAUACCGCAUAACAACUUGGACCGCAUGGUCCGAGUUUGAAAGAUGGCUUCGGCUAUCACUUUUGGAUGGUCCCGCGGCGUAUUAGCUAGAUGGUGGGGUAACGGCUCACCAUGGCAAUGAUACGUAGCCGACCUGAGAGGGUAAUCGGCCACAUUGGGACUGAGACACGGCCCAAACUCCUACGGGAGGCAGCAGUAGGGAAUCUUCCACAAUGGACGAAAGUCUGAUGGAGCAACGCCGCGUGAGUGAAGAAGGGUUUCGGCUCGUAAAACUCUGUUGUUAAAGAAGAACAUAUCUGAGAGUAACUGUUCAGGUAUUGACGGUAUUUAACCAGAAAGCCACGGCUAACUACGUGCCAGCAGCCGCGGUAAUACGUAGGUGGCAAGCGUUGUCCGGAUUUAUUGGGCGUAAAGCGAGCGCAGGCGGUUUUUUAAGUCUGAUGUGAAAGCCUUCGGCUCAACCGAAGAAGUGCAUCGGAAACUGGGAAACUUGAGUGCAGAAGAGGACAGUGGAACUCCAUGUGUAGCGGUGAAAUGCGUAGAUAUAUGGAAGAACACCAGUGGCGAAGGCGGCUGUCUGGUCUGUAACUGACGCUGAGGCUCGAAAGUAUGGGUAGCAAACAGGAUUAGAUACCCUGGUAGUCCAUACCGUAAACGAUGAAUGCUAAGUGUUGGAGGGUUUCCGCCCUUCAGUGCUGCAGCUAACGCAUUAAGCAUUCCGCCUGGGGAGUACGGCCGCAAGGCUGAAACUCAAAGGAAUUGACGGGGGCCCGCACAAGCGGUGGAGCAUGUGGUUUAAUUCGAAGCUACGCGAAGAACCUUACCAGGUCUUGACAUACUAUGCAAAUCUAAGAGAUUAGACGUUUCCCUUCGGGGGACAUGGGAUACAGGGUGGUGCAUGGAUUGUCGUCAGCUUCGUUGUCGUGAGAUGGUUGGAUUAGUCCGCACCGAAGCGCAAACCC